rnacentral:pre_miRNA from 1 species
AGUGCAAGUGCUGGGUCACAUGGUAAGUAUAUGCUUAGUUUUUAAAGAACUAUCCAACUAUUUUCCAGGGUGGCUGUACCAUUUUACAUUCCCACCAGCAAU